AUACCGGGCCUUUUUGGGCUUGGUAAUUGGAAUGAGGGAGAGUUAAACGGACCAUCGAGUAUCCAUUGGAGGGCAAGUCUGGUGCCAGCAGCUGCGGUAAUACCAGCUCCAAUAGCGUAUAUUAAAGUUGUUGCAGUUAAAAAGCUCGUAGUUGGACUUGUGUGCGCUGUCCGCGGGUGGCCUGCGCCCAAAAGGGCGUUUCGGUUCGGCCCCGGUGGCGCCUUGAAAUCUGCAGCUGGGGGGACGUUGGCCUUAACUGGUCGGCGACCGCACGCCGGCUGCUCGUUACUGUGAGAAAAUUAGAGUGUUCAAGGCAGGCAUUGGGUGCAAUUGAAUACAUUAGCAUGGAAUAAUAAAAUAUGGCUCCUGCCGUAUUUUGUUGGUUUUGACUGGUGGGAGUAAUGAUUGAUAGGGACGGUUGGGGGUGCUAGUAUUGAGCGGCCAGAGGUGAAAUUCAUGGAUUCGCUCAAGACUAACUUAUGCGAAAGCAUUCACCAAGGACGUCCUCUUUAAUCAAGAACGAAAGUUGGGGGAUCGAAGACGAUCAGAUACCGUCGUAGUCUCAACCAUAAACUAUGUCGACUUGGGAUCGGCGGUAGUUUUUUCAUUAAGACACUGUCGGGACCACGGGAGAAAUCAAAGUGUCUGGACUCUGGGGGAAGUAUGGUCGCAAGGCUGAAACUUGAAGGAAUUGACGGAAGGGCACCACCAGGAGUGGAGCCUGCGGCUUAAUUUGACACAACACGGGGAAACUAACCAGGUCCAGAGAUGUAGAGGAUUGACAGAUUGAAGCUCUUUCUUGAUCACUUCGGUGGUGGUGCAUGGCCGUUCUUAGUUGGUGGAGUGAUUUGUCUGGUUAAUUCCGUUAACGAACGAGACCUCAGCCUGCUAGUGUAGUCGGCUGGAUUGCCUUUGGCGAUCCGUGAUUUCGACUUCUUAGAGGGACAAUCGACGCGCAGUCGAUGGAAGUUUGAGGCAAUAACAGGUCUGUGAUGCCCUUAGAUGUUCUGGGCCGCACGCGCGCUACACUGCUGGGCUCAGCGAGUUUUACUUGGCCGAGUGGCCCGGUUAAUCUUGUGAAAUCCCAGCGUGCUUGGGCUCGCCUCCUGCAACUGGAGGCGCCAACGAGGAAUUCCUAGUAGACGCAGGUCAUCAACCUGCAUCGAUUACGUCCCUGCCCUUUGUACACACCGCCCGUCGUUCCAUAAGAGUGAGGCAUCCGGUGAAUUCUCGGGAGAGCCUGGGCGUGGCCAGCAAUGGUCUGCUCGGGUUUGAACUUGCAUAAACUUGGUGCCUAUGAUUAGGG
rnacentral:rRNA from 1 species